rnacentral:rRNA from 1 species
GACGAACGCUGGCGGCGUGCCUAAUACAUGCAAGUCGAACGCUUCUUUCCUCCCGAGUGCUUGCACUCAAUUGGAAAGAGGAGUGGCGGACGGGUGAGUAACACGUGGGUAACCUACCCAUCAGAGGGGGAUAACACUUGGAAACAGGUGCUAAUACCGCAUAACAGUUUAUGCCGCAUGGCAUAAGAGUGAAAGGCGCUUUCGGGUGUCGCUGAUGGAUGGACCCGCGGUGCAUUAGCUAGUUGGUGAGGUAACGGCUCACCAAGGCCACGAUGCAUAGCCGACCUGAGAGGGUGAUCGGCCACACUGGGACUGAGACACGGCCCAGACUCCUACGGGAGGCAGCAGUAGGGAAUCUUCGGCAAUGGACGAAAGUCUGACCGAGCAACGCCGCGUGAGUGAAGAAGGUUUUCGGAUCGUAAAACUCUGCUGUUAGAGAAGAACAAGGACGUUAGUAACUGAACGUCCCCUGACGGUAUCUAACCAGAAAGCCACGGCUAACUACGUG